AUGGUAGGAUAGAGGCCUACCAUGGUGGUAACGGGUAACGGGGUGUUAGGGCACGACACCGGAGAGGGAGCCUGAGAAACGGCUACCACAUCCAAGGAAGGCAGCAGGCGCGCAAAUUACCCAAUCCCGACACGGGGAAGUAGUGACAAUAAAUAACAAUACAGGGUUCUUUGAAUCUUGUAAUUGGAAUGAGUACAAUUUAAAUCUCUUAACGAGGAACAAUUGGAGGGCAAGUCUGGUGCCAGCAGCCGCGGUAAUUCCAGCUCCAAUAGCGUAUAUUAAAGCUGUUGCAGUUAAAAAGCUCGUAGUUGAAUUUCGGGAUCAAUACGUCGGUCGUGCUUUCGGGUACGUACUGGCGUCAUUGGUUUCUCCUUUCUGACGAACCAUGAUGUCAUUAAUUUGGUGUUAUGGGGAGUUAGGACUGUUACUUUGAAAAAAUUAGAGUGUUUAAAGCAGGCAUUAGCUUGAAUACAUUAGCAUGGAAUAAUGAAAUAGGACGUUCGAUCCUAUUUUGUUGGUUUCUAGGAUCAACGUAAUGAUUAAUAGGGAUAGUUGGGGGCAUUAGUAUUCAAUUGUCAGAGGUGAAAUUCUUGGAUUUAUUGAAGACUAACUACUGCGAAAGCAUUUGCCAAGGAUGUUUUCAUUAAUCAAGAACGAAAGUUAGGGGAUCGAAGACGAUCAGAUACCGUCGUAGUCUUAACCAUAAACUAUGCCGACUAGGGAUCGGAUGAUGUUAAUUUUUUAAUGACUCAUUCGGCGCCUUACGGGAAACCAAAGUGUUUGGG
rnacentral:rRNA from 1 species